GACGAACGCUGGCGGCGUGCUUAACACAUGCAAGUCGAACGGAAAGGCCCUGCUUUUGUGGGGUGCUCGAGUGGCGAACGGGUGAGUAACACGUGAGUAACCUGCCCUUGACUUUGGGAUAACUUCAGGAAACUGGGGCUAAUACCGGAUAGGAGCUCCUGCUGCAUGGUGGGGGUUGGAAAGUUUCGGCGGUUGGGGAUGGACUCGCGGCUUAUCAGCUUGUUGGUGGGGUAGUGGCUUACCAAGGCUUUGACGGGUAGCCGGCCUGAGAGGGUGACCGGCCACAUUGGGACUGAGAUACGGCCCAGACUCCUACGGGAGGCAGCAGUGGAGAAUAUUGCACAAUGGGCGGAAGCCUGAUGCAGCAACGCCGCGUGCGGGAUGACGGCCUUCGGGUUGUAAACCACUUUCGCCUGUGACGAAGCGUGAGUGACGGUAAUGGGUAAAGAAGCACCGGCUAACUACGUG
rnacentral:rRNA from 1 species